rnacentral:rRNA from 1 species
GUGACCUCAAAUCAGGUAGGACUACCCGCUGAACUUAAGCAUAUCAAUAAGCGGAGGAAAAGAAACUAACAAGGAUUCCCCUAGUAACUGCGAGUGAAGCGGGAAAAGCUCAAAUUUAAAAUCUGGUGGUCUUUUGGCUGCCCGAGUUGUAAUCUAGAGAAGUGUUAUCCGCGCUGGACCGUGUACAAGUCUCCUGGAAUGGAGCAUCAUAGAGGGUGAGAAUCCCGUCUUUGACAUGGACUCCCAGGGCUUUUGUGAUGCGCUCUCAAAGAGUCGAGUUGUUUGGGAAUGCAGCUCAAAAUGGGUGGUAAAUUCCAUCUAAAGCUAAAUAUUGGCGAGAGACCGAUAGCGAACAAGUACCGUGAGGGAAAGAUGAAAAGAACUUUGGAAAGAGAGUUAAACAGUGCGUGAAAUUGCUGAAAGGGAAACGCUUGAAGUCAGUCACGUUGUCCAGGGAUCAACCUUGCUUUUGCUUUGGUGCACUUUCUGGUUAACGGGUCAGCAUCAAUUUUGACCAUUGGAAAAAGAUUAGGGGAAUGUGACAUCUUCGGAUGUGUUUAUAGUCCUUGGUUGCAUACAAUGGUUGGGAUUGAGGAACUCAGCACGCCCUCAGGGGUCGGACCCUUAGGUCACGUACGUGCUAG